AACGAACGCUGGCGGCAUGCCUAACACAUGCAAGUCGAACGAGACCUUCGGGUCUAGUGGCGCACGGGUGCGUAACGCGUGGGAACCUGCCCUUAGGUUCGGAAUAACUCCCCGAAAGGGGUGCUAAUACCGGAUAAUGUCUUCGGACCAAAGAUUUAUCGCCUUUGGAUGGGCCCGCGUUGGAUUAGCUAGUUGGUAGGGUAAAAGCCUACCAAGGCGACGAUCCAUAGCUGGUCUGAGAGGAUGAUCAGCCACACUGGGACUGAGACACGGCCCAGACUCCUACGGGAGGCAGCAGUGGGGAAUAUUGGACUAUGGGCGAAAGCCUGAUCCAGCAAUGCCGCGUGAGUGAUGAAGGCCUUAGGGUUGUAAAGCUCUUUUACCCGGGAUGAUAAUGACAGUACCGGGAGAAUAAGCUCCGGCUAACUCCGU
rnacentral:rRNA from 1 species